GCCAGGACCCUGCAGCUGGGAGAGGAGCCCCAGCCCUGGGAGUCCAGGUGUUCCCAUUCCGUGAUCAGGACAGAACACAGACAUCUCACCAUGGACUUUGUGCUUGGCUGGGUUUUCCUUGUUGCUGUUCUAAAAGGUGUCCAGUGUGAGGUGCAGCUGGUGGAGUCUGGGGGAGGCCUGGCGAAGCCUGGGGGCUCCCUGCGACUCUCCUGUGCAGCCUCAGGAUUCAACAUUGGAAGCUACCACAUGAGCUGGGUCCGCCAGGCUCCAGAGAAGGGGCUAGAGUGGGUCUCAGUUAUUUAUAGUAAUGGAAACACAUACUACGCAGAUUCUGUGAAGGGCCGAUUCACCAUCUCCAGGGACAACGCCAAGAACACAGUGGAUCUGCAGAUGAACAGCCUGAGGCCUGAGGACACGGCCACGUAUUUCUGUGCGAGAGACACAGUGAGGGGACAUCAGUGUGAGCCCAGACAAAAACCUCCCUGUAGAAGAUUAUCAGUAUCACCAGGGGGCGCACACUCCACACAAUUCUGGCUUGUAUUCUCUCCAGCAGGUACAUAUGGAGGUUACAAGCAGGGUUCUGAGAGGAUCUGGGGCUUCCUCUCCAUACAGCAUUUCCUCCAGGGAGCUUCUCUGGACUGA